UCCUACGGGGCGCAGCAGUGAGGAAUAUUGGUCAAUGGGAGAGAUCCUGAACCAGCCAAGCCGCGUGAGGGAAGACGGCCCUAUGGGUUGUAAACCUCUUUUGUCGGGGAGCAAAAGACGCCACGUGUGGCGUUCCGAGAGUACCCGAAGAAAAAGCAUCGGCUAACUCCGUGCCAGCAGCCGCGGUAAUACGGAGGAUGCGAGCGUUAUCCGGAUUUAUUGGGUUUAAAGGGUGCGCAGGCGGAAGAUCAAGUCAGCGGUAAAAUUGAGAGGCUCAACCUCUUCGAGCCGUUGAAACUGGUUUU
rnacentral:rRNA from 1 species